CCUCCAUGGAAGCAGGUACACAAAAGCAGAAAAUAGAACCCUGGUCAAAUGGAACUCCAAAGUCUGUGGAAAGACUGACAAAAUAUCCCAGAUCCCUCCAGCAGAGAUGCUCCAAGAAGGCUGAGGCACAAACUGGUCAGACCCUUCACAAAGUCAUGUGUACAUAGCUAUGAAAAGUAUGGUGUCACUCAAGGUCACAAGCUCAAAUUGGUCGGAGUCUGGAAAGAGACAGAGUCAUUACCCCUUAUGGUUGCUUAGCAGGCUUGAGCCAGCAAAUUAGUGGCUUCCACUGAAGAUCUGCUGUACUGAUCGAUGCUCUACCCCAGUUAGCCCAUCUCACUUCUUGAUCACCAGCCUCAGAGAAAAAUGCCUGGCCUACCAGGACCUCAUGACCAUGAAUGUGUUACCUUUGAAACAAAUCAAAACAACCAAAGCAUUCCGAUGAGGAAAAUACUAACAAUCCACCUGCAACAAUAACGGGAGAGGGGAGAAUUCUUCUUUGGCCUUGAAAGGUCGGUAGGCAUGGGCUCUGGGCUCCCACACAGGCACUGACCCAUGAGCUCUAGUGUUUCUGAUCAUUAUUUUCCCUUGACUCAACCAUUCUUUGGCCCUCAAAGGGGAGUGUCAGACUGCUUAAAACUCCAGCAUUUGCUGUUUCAACCCUCCCGGAAAGGGCAAUGAAUCAAAUUACUGACAGCCAUUCUUUUUCCUGUGAGCUUGGCUUUGGCUGUAGGGGAAAUAUCUUAAGACUAGGGUAGAGAAAUAAAGAACAUAAGGCCAUGGUCAUGACCUUGUGUGCUCUACUUUUGUGACUGCCAUCCCCACCCCAAGUCCUAGCUUAGAAAGACAUGGGCCAAAAGUAACAAGGAACAUAAGGGCACCGUUUGAAACCUGACCUACAUUUUUUUUA
rnacentral:sRNA from 1 species